rnacentral:rRNA from 1 species
UCCGCAGGUGGAUAAUUAAGUCAGAGGUGAAAUCCUGCAGCUCAAUUGUAGAAUUGCCUUUGAUACUGGUUAUCUUGAGUCAUUAUGAAGUGGUUAGAAUGUGUAGUGUAGCGGUGAAAUGCAUAGAUAUUACACAGAAUACCGAUUGCGAAGGCAGAUCACUAAUAAUGUACUGACACUGAUGGACGAAAGCGUGGGGAGCGAACAGGAUUAGAUACCCUGGUAGUCC